GUUUGUGGGCGUGUGUGAGAGUGGCUCUCGGCCGCGUAUGCGUGCAUGCGUGCGUUGGUUUGUAGGUGUUUACAUGGCGUGAUGACAGCCCGUUUACUCUCUUCCAACUCUCCCCUGCCGACUCCCUACCACCUUGUUCCCUCCUCCUUAUUCAGGAAAGCCUUCGUGAGUUUCAGUGAGGCCGCCAGGAGAAGUCUGGAAAGUCCAUGCUGACUCAACGUGCCGUCACCCUUACAGAAUGCAGCCAGCCAAGCACAGACGAAAGGCGACCAGGCAGACACGAGUCAGACAGCAAGGCAUCAGGCACGCUGUCUGAAAAAAAAACAAAAAAAAAAAACGCAGCUGAGGUAUUAUUAGAUUCAUGUUUUCUGCCUGCUUUCACCUUGCAGGCAGCUGCCCCAACAGCAUGCAGGCAACCCCUCCUUCCCGGCAACCACCGCCCUCCUUUGUGAGACGUUUGAAGCCUGAAAGACAGCGAAAAGGGGGAUCUGAAGAUCAGCUCCUUUUGAUCGUGAGCUGGAGAGUUGUGCUCUUUGUUCUGCAGAUGAAAAGACAAUUUUAGAGAAAAAAUACAAUGUGGAGAGAGGCGUGUUCCACGCGUCCCCUGCGGGCGGGGUGUGUGCAAGGGCCGGCCAUGAAGCAGCCAACAGCAGCGCUGGAGACCAUGACGCGAGAGGAAGCAAGAGAGACGAGCGAGAACAACAAACGAGCGAGGAGCAGACAGCUGACAAGCUGGAGAGACUGAACACUUGUAUGUAUGAAGAAAAUAAAACUGGGUCAAACCUGCA